rnacentral:pre_miRNA from 1 species
AUGGAGGUGAUCUGUUUUUAAGUCAGAAUAAAUUUCUCUAAAGGGAAUGAAUCCUACAUAGCUUUCCUUUCUUGUCAAGUGUCUUGU